rnacentral:rRNA from 1 species
AUGAGUUUCGGAGUCGAUGCUUCGCAGGACCUGCAACUGCCUGCUAGGGCUAGCGGAACCGACACGACCACCCUGAGCGCGCAAGGCGACGGCCACGACACCAGAGUGGUCGUCAAGCAGAGCGUGGCGGCCGUGCCGGUCCGGCAGGGGUGGCAGACCGGCCUGUUCGACUGCGAAGACGACGGCUGCGACGCAUUUUGCUGCAGCGUGUGGUUCCCCUGCGCGGCGUUCGCCUGCGUCGCCGACAUCGUCGACCAGGGCUCGGAAGGCCGGUGCGUGCACUUCACCUGCUACCUUGUGGCGGCCUACUUCGGGCUGUGGUGGGUGUACACGGGGUGGUACCGGCGCAAGCUGCGGGAGCGGUACGGCCUGCCGGAGACGCCGCUGCCGGACUGCCUCACCCACCUGCUCUGCCACUGGUGCGCCCUCGCCCAGGAGUACAGGGAGCUCGCCAGGCGGGGAUUCGACGUCGACGAGGGCUGGGAGGGUCGGCCGCGGCCGGCGACUGCACCGGCGGCGACCGCCGUGCCACGGGUCCAGGUGCCGAUGACCAGGCUAUGA